rnacentral:rRNA from 1 species
CCUACGGGAGGCUGCAGUGAGGAAUAUUGGUCAAUGGACGGAAGUCUGAACCAGCCAUGCCGCGUGCAGGAAGACGGCUCUAUGAGUUGUAAACUGCUUUUUUACAAGGGUAAACCUGAAUACUUGUAUUCAGCUGAAAGUACUUUACGAAUAAGGAUCGGCUAACUCCGUGCCGGCAGCCGCGGUAAUACGGAGGAUCCAAGCGUUAUCCGGAUUUGUUGGGUUUAAAGGGUGCGUAGGCGGAUUGAUAAUUUACAUGUGAAAUGUCCGAGCUUAAGUCGGGAACUGCCUCUAAUACUGUUGAUCUAGAGAGUAGAUGCGGUAGGCGGAAUGUAUGGUGUAGCGGUGAAAUGCUUAGAGAUCAUACAGAACACCGAUUGCGAAGGCAGCUUACCAAUCUAUAUCUGACGUUGAGGCACGAAAGCGUGGGGAGCAAACAGGAUUAGAUACCACUGUAGUC